GAUGGAUGGCUGAGUUGGACACGUUCUGGAUCCACACGACCUGUGAGUAUUCUCACUACUUUGCUCUCAAGAAAUUGCAGUACAAUCUGAAUUACUUUUUGGAUGAACUGGGUGUCUACCAGUGUUACACCACUAGUUCUCAGUAGUAAUAACACUCCAUUUCAUGUCUCUCAGUAGAUGAAGCCAGCUGCAACCCGUAGAGUGGAGUCGUGGAGAGAGCCCCUCGCCCCUCAGCUAAACCAGAGUAAAUGAAGCCAGCACCAACCUGUGGAGUGGAGUCCAGGAGAGAGCAUGCCGCCCCUCAGCUAAACCAGAUCAGAUAAAGCCAACUGGAACCAUAUUUUUACAUAUUUUAUAUUAAAUAUAUUGAAUAAAACUACAU